rnacentral:misc_RNA from 1 species
GAUGAAGAACGCAGUGAAAUGCGAUAAGUAGUGUGAAUUGCAGAAUUCAGUGAAUCAUCGAAUCUUUGAACGCACAUUGCGCCCCUUGGUACUCCAUGGGGCAUGCCUGUUCGAGCGUCAUUUACACCCUCAAGCUCAGCUUGGUGUUGGGCGUCUGUCCCGCUUCGUGCGCGGACUCGCCUCAAAUGCAUUGGCAGCGGUCUUGCCAGCUUCUCGCGCAGCACAUUGCGCUUCUAGAGGCUUUGGCGGAUCGGCGUCCAUCAAGUACACCCACAGUUUGACCUCGGAUCAGGUAGGGAUACCCGAUGAACUUAAGCAUAUCAAUAAGCGGAGGA